GCACAUGAAGCCUGGACCUGAACAUGGAGAAACCUCAUUCAAGAGGCUCUGGCAGGCACAUCUCCACCUCCUGGCGUAGACCCAGCUGAGAACAGCGCCUCUCUGCAGAGUUGGAAUCUAGCCAGCCACUUGGAGAGGAAGUUGAGCCUGUUGAGAAAGUACAAUCAUACCAUCUUAGAAUUAGUUUGGGGCAGAGGUCAAGAUGUGCAAAGCUGUCAAGACCGCAGGGCUUCCAUGCAUGAUCAGCAGCAGAAACAUAGAGUCUUUACUAAGCUUGCAUUCCUUGGCUGUCUCUCUAUGUCCAAAUUGCAGUGGAGCCUGACUACCAGCCUGUCUUGGACCAGGACCUUGUUGCCUUCCUCCAUGCGUUUUUCACUUCCAUCCUGGAUCACUGCACUCACUUUUAUUAGAACAAAGUUCUCUAACUUGAGUGAUAUCCAAGAAAGAUGGUGGACACCUCUGAAACAGCUUAUACAGUCACCUCAAAGACUUCAACAAGACCUUAGAGUUGCUGUCAUCCUAUAGGACUUACAUGGUAAAGUGUCUUCCCAUAUCAGUUUAAACUCUGCUCAUUUUUCACUCCAUUGCAACUUGAGAAGCCUUUGGACAGCAGCAGACAUUGGAAUUAUCUUUUGCAGACUCAGGAAGAUGGUAUAUAUGUCAUUCUCAAAUCACAUUUGUUUUUUUUCAGGAAUAGUGCUAGAAAAAUGAAAAUUAUUGGCAUUCAUGUGGGGACAUCCUUACUCAUGCUGAGUGAAUUUUUAGACCCUCUUUAUCAGAUCCAAUCUUUCUAUCUGUCAUUAACUUAUGGAGAUCUGUUAAUAUUGUUUUGAGGAUAAUGUAUUGGAACUCUUGAUCUCUGAAAACUACAGACUAGGUAGGUUUCUGGCUUGCAGUUUCUACUUGCACAGUUUACAGAAUCCUGUGACAUAUUCCAGCAAAUUCAGGCUGGAGUAAUAUUAUAACAGCUACAGAAAGUGUUGGAUACACAAAAACUGAACAGUGGGCUGUAUUCACUGCAUGGAAACAAAGGGUCCGUUAGAAAGCAAGGUUAAGAAUACAUAAGUGUAUUUCAAACAAAAGUCCUAAAUCUGGUGAAAUUUGUGCAGAUCCUGAAUGUUCUGCACUGUGAGUAGCUCCAUAUAAAUGAAUGAUGCUCUUCACAGCAUGUAAAACUUCACACAUGCAUAAGUCUUUGCACAGUCAGGGCCAAAGUUUUUUCGGAGGAGUGUGACUUGCUUUCCAGAAGAAAAAAACAUGUGGGGCUUUCUAUAAAGUUGCUGGCACUGUUCUGCUUAUCAAACAGACAUGAAUUCACUCAUAUAAGAUAAGAUCUAGACAUUUAUAUCAAGUAGGUGGAAAUUUGUACCUAUUCCUAAAUGAAAAAAUUAGCAAUAAUACUUCUAGAUUUGUAUGCUGGGUUGAUUUCUUGAUAUAUAUUGAUUAACUUAAGAGUUUUAUAAUAUUGCCUCUCUUACCUAUUAGAGCCCUGCUACCAGGCAAAAUUUGCUCUGUAUUAGCCAAUAAAUUACAGUAACUUUCAAAGAGACUGCA
rnacentral:lncRNA from 1 species